UAAAUGCUGUGGCGCCGGGCGUAGGAGCGCUUCGGCCGGGGCGCUUGUGGGUGUUCGGUCGUUUGGCGGCGUUGUGGUCCGCGCCUGAGCCGGCCCUGCUUUCUCACUGUGCCAUGGCGGACGAGGGGAAGUCCUACAACGAGCACGAUGACCGCGUUAGUUUCCCUCAAAGAAGAAAGAAAGGCCGGGGUCCUUUCCGGUGGAAGUAUGGUGAAGGGAACCGUAGGUCUGGAAGAGGAGGGUCUGGCAUUCGAUCUUCCCGCCUGGAGGAAGAUGACAGAGAUGUGGCAAUGAGUGAUGCCCAAGAUGUUCCCCGAAUACGACACAACCCCUAUCCUUCCCGACCCAACCGUCGAGGUGACAGUUGGCAUGAUCGAGAUCGCAUUCAUGUUACUGUGCGGAGAGACAGAACUCUUCCAGAGAGAGGAGGAGCUGGCACCAGCCAGGAUGGGACCUCAAGAAACUGGUUUAAGAUUACAAUUCCCUAUGGCAGAAAGUACGACAAGUCGUGGCUCCUGAACGUGAUUCAGAGCAAGUGCAAUGUCCCUUUCACCCCCAUUGAGUUUCACUAUGAAAACACACGGGCCCAGUUUUUUGUUGAAGAUGCCAGUACUGCCUCUGCGUUGAAGGCCGUCAACUAUAAGAUUUUGGAUCAGGAAAACAGAAGGAUAUCGAUCAUCAUCAACUCCUCUGCCCCUCCCCAUUCGGUACAGAAUGAACUGAAGCCAGAACAGGUCGAGCAGCUAAAGCUAAUCAUGAGCAAACGAUAUGAUGGCUCCCUGCAAGCGCUUGACCUCAAGGGGCUCCGUUCAGACCCAGACUUGGUGGCCCAGAACAUCGAUGUUGUCCUGAACCGCAGGAACUGCAUGGCGGCUACGCUGCGAAUCAUUGAGGAGAACAUCCCUGAGCUUUUGUCCUUGAACUUGAGCAACAACAGGCUCUACAGGCUGGAUGACAUGUCCAGCCUUGUGCAGAAAGCACCCAGCCUGAAGAUCCUCAACCUCUCCGGGAAUGAGUUGAAGUCUGAGAGGGAGUUGGACAAGAUAAAAGGGCUAAAGCUGGAAGAGCUGUGGCUCGACGGAAACCCACUGUGUGACACCUUCCGAGACCAGUCUACCUACAUCAGGUCAGUUGUAGCCUCUGUCUCCCCUCCUGGGGACCUUCACCCCCCGGGAGGCUGAGCUAAUGCACCCUGACCAGUGCCCGUCUGCAGGAGAUGUGCAGCCCUGAGCUGAACCACGUGUCCUUUGGGAGGAUCACGUGCUCCUCCCUUCGUCUGUCCGUGUGUCCCAGCUUGGCCCCGAGGUCUCCUUCCCUUCCUUCUCCCCUAACUACCUGUUUGCUGUUCUGUGGUCUUUCCUCUUCCCGAACACAGCCUUUUCUAGAGUCUCCCCACCCUGCUGUUCCAGGAAGGGCAUCUCCCGCUUUCUACUGUGACCCGGGGGUGUCUUGCGUACGUGUCCCGUACGUGGAGCUGCCUUGUGCCAAGAGCCUGGUAUCCCUGGGCCGAGAAUGGCCUCCCUCCGGGGACUUCCCAUGGAUGGGCCUUCCCCUCUUUGUCUGGUGCUGGGCCCUCUUGUCAUUCUGCCAAGAGGGACUCUUCUCAUGGUCCACAUGCCCAAGGCGGUUGCUUGGGCUUUCCCCCUCGUGCUGAGGUUGAGGCCUCCUUGGAGCUGGUGCCAUGCACUCCGUCUCUCUUGCCCAGAGCUGUGAGCCGGGCCCUCCCUGGAGAAGAAACCUGGGUUCCCCAAGCCAUGUGACCAGAGCCAGGGCCCCGCCAGCAGGCGAGGGAAGCCCAAGGCAAGCGCUGGGCGUGGAGGCCACGGGGGCAUAGGCUACCGAGGAGACAGAGCACUGACCCUCUCGGGGGGCGCUGCCCCGCCCUCACUCGCACACCUCACGUCACCCUGCUUGGCCCCGGAGGAUGGCUGGUUAGCCAGAGACGGGUAAGAUUCCUCAGGGAAGGAACAACCUAAGACAGGCACAGUCGCAGAGGGGCCAUCAGGAGAGAACUUGGGGGCCAACAGAGGUGGGGCGCAGACCCUCACCCCCCCAACUUUGCAGGGGCCUGAACCCUCACCCCUUCUGAGGGAGGUCUCCUGCCCCCAUGGCUGCUUCGCUUCCCACGCCCAGCUGAGAUCGGGACCCAGGUACCAGACUGAGACCUGGCCAACAGCAUGUGCCCUCCGGCUGCAGCAAGCACCUGUUUCCCGUCUGUACCUUGGACCACGGGGCAAGGGGCAGCCAAAGGAGAAGGCUGUGUCGGGUGUCUUCUUCCCUUUUUCUUCCUUGUUUCGGGGAUGCCUCCUUGCCGUCUGCAGCUCUUUCGCCUUUGCUUUGCUUUCUCUGUCUUCUUACUUUCUGCUCCUCUCCGUCUCCCCAGCUCGCCCUUGCUCUGGCCCCGUCCUGCCUUCUCUCUCUUCUCUUCUUUUCCAUCCCUGUCUUCUUCCUUCACCUCCCCUCCUCCUGCCCCCGCCUUGCUCAUCUCCCUGCCCCAACAUCCUGUGCCAUCCCUGUGGUGUGUUCGGGUCUUGGCCACGGCCAGACCGGGCAGGACUGAUGGAUACCUGUUGAGGCAGCGGAGCCCCUGGGCUCCCACCCCAUUCCCUCCUCCCGGGGCUGCACAGCGCCAUUCGAGAACGAUUUCCCAAGUUAUUACGCCUGGU